GAUGAACGCUGGCGGCGUUCCUAAUACAUGCAAGUAGAACGCUGAAGGAGGAGCUUGCUCUUCUGGAUGAGUUGCGAACGGGUGAGUAACGCGUAGGUAACCUGCCUGGUAGCGGGGGAUAACUAUUGGAAACGAUAGCUAAUACCGCAUGACAACAGUUAUUGCAUGAUAACUGUUUAAAAGGGGCAACUGCUCCACUACCAGAUGGACCUGCGUUGUAUUAGCUAGUUGGUGAGGUAACGGCUCACCAAGGCGACGAUACAUAGCCGACCUGAGAGGGUGAUCGGCCACACUGGGACUGAGACACGGCCCAGACUCCUACGGGAGGCAGCAGUAGGGAAUCUUCGGCAAUGGACGGAAGUCUGACCGAGCAACGCCGCGUGAGUGAAGAAGGUUUUCGGAUCGUAAAGCUCUGUUGUAAGAGAAGAACGAGUGUGAGAGUGGAAAGUUCACACUGUGACGGUAUCUUACCAGAAAGGGACGGCUAACUACGUG
rnacentral:rRNA from 1 species